AUUAAUAAUAAAAGGAUAAAUUUACUUUCACGAAAAAAGGUGAGCUAAAUACACAUGGUAUUUUAUAUGUGUGGUAUAAUAUAUAUAAAAUGUGUAUUUAGGGGUGAUAGGCUUUCCAAACUUUUUGAUAACUUGAUGCGUAUGAGAUGUAUUUAGUACGAUAGUCAUAUUUAAAAAGUUAAGCUUUUAAAUAGUUAUUAAAAACAUUAAUCAUCUUAGGCACAGAAUAAUAACUAGCAUUAUAAUAUUCUAACAUUUAUUAUGUAAAUUUGUAUAUAAUAAUACGCCGCUAAGUUAUUUAUAAGUUGAUAAUGUUAAUAUUAGUAGUAGUUGUAAGUAUGUUUAAGGAACUCGGCAAAUCUACCGCUCAACUGUUUAUCAAAAACAUAGCUACAUGAAUGAAUGUGUAGUGAUUUCUGCUCCAUGAUUAUCAAAUAGCCGCAGUACCCUGACUGUGCAAAGGUAGCAUAAUCAAUUGGCUCAUGAUUGGGGUCUAGCAUGAAUGAAAGCAUGGGUGGUAACUGUCUAAAUGUAUUUAUAUUAACUUAAUAAAUAAGUGCAAAUGCUUAUAUUUAUAUAAAAGACGAGAAGACCCUAGAAGCUUAAUUUUAUUUUGUUGGGGCGACAGGAUUACAUUUAACUUAUUUUAUUUAACAUGACAUUUUAAAGUAAGAGUAAGCUACUCUAGGGAUAACAGCAUAAUUUAAAUAGUUUGUGACCUCGAUGUUGGACUAGGUAUUAUAUCCCUUAGGUAGGAAUAUUUAGUGCUCUGUUCGAGCAAAUUUACCUACAU
rnacentral:rRNA from 1 species